UAUAUUGAAGCGCAUAAUUGGUUGAAGAUCACGAGACGUUUCGAAUAAAAGAAGAUCCCGUUUAUUUAUUAUCCUUUAUUUAGAAUCUUAGUCUAUUAUUUUUUAUUUUUUAUUUAGAAUUUAGAUAUUUGUUAUAAUUUAUUGUUUGUUGGACCCAUCAGAUCAGUUAACUAAAAAACGGAUCAUUCAAUUAACUUGAUUGAAUCCAUUAUGGAUUAAGUAAAUCUAAAUAAAUUAUAGUUUUGUUUUCCACUUAUUUAUUCUCUCAUCUAUACUUUUUUGUAUCUAUUUUAUUUGGAUUAGAUUUGUAGUGCCAAUCUAACACAAGUCUUUUUUUUAAAAUAUUUUUUAUUGUUGUCGAUUGAAAUUUCUUUUGUUUUUUUUUUCACUAUUCAAUAUUUAU
rnacentral:lncRNA from 1 species